CAUCCUCAUCCCACAUGGAUGGAUGUGAGAGAGAGGCAGCCUAAAAUACAUCUCACCCACAUACACUCAAGCAGCUCUUAAUUUCUUUCUCCAGGAAAAAAGAAAACUUUUCAUUUUUAUUUUUUCCAACUCUGAAGUCUUUAAUUCUCACAGGAAGUUUGGUUGACACAUUGCAACAUUUUCGUAAAACAACAAACCUUCCCAUCUGUUAUAGCUGUCUUCCCAUUUGUUCUUUGAGGAAAACAUCUCAUCUUGGAUCGCCAAAAGAUUCCUUUACACGUUGCAUUGGUUUUAGUUUCUUUUAGGCAAUUGAAGGUAAUGUUUUUGAUAACUCUGGAUGCUGUGUGCUUAUUGUUGUAAUGGGUCCCCUCCAAUUUCUUAGGCCCUUUUGUGGUUCUCACACAAGGCUUUGUCUGGUUUAUUCUGUGAAACCCAACAAGGUUUCUUUCGCUCACUCAUUAGAUUGGCUUUGAUCUUCUGGGUAUACUUUUUCCAUUUGGUUUCUUUACUUAAUUCUUGCACACUGUUGAGAUUGAGGAAAAUCUGAGGAAAAUCUGAGGAAAACCCAAAAGGGUAUCCAUAUUAUAAGAGGAAAUGCUAUGGAAGUUGGGAUCUUUGAUUGAAAAAGGACCAUUUUUAUUUGGUGGCAUCUCGAUGAAGAAAAAAUUUAUCUUCUUUGAGCUGUAAUUAGCUGGAGAAAGUGAGUUUUGAGAAGACUUUUGGGGUCUUGUUGAGGAGUAAUAAGUAGGUAACUUGAUUUAGUGUUAACUUCUGUUGGGAAGCUGUUUUUGAGAUUACAUGAAUGAAAUUGAAAGAGCUACAAUUGAGCUGUUGGCUUUGCAUUUUGUUGAGAGGGAAGGAACAAAAGCAGGAUAAUUUAGAUAUUUCUUGUACUUAAGCAGGUAAUUGGUGUCAGUGUGUAUAAAGGACACUGGGGUGGUCCCAAUUUUGCAGCUUGUCAAUUGAGUUGCUGGAGAAAUUGCAAUUGCCUGAAAACACUGAAAUUGGUUUCAGAGGGUUUAGAGGUGUGUGUGAAAUUACUGAUUCUUGAUUCUGGCUUGCCAUUGAAAGUUGUGAAUUGCGCAUUGUAAAAUUUGGUUCCGGCAUUUUUGAAGAGCUUUAGAUUCAUAUGGGGGCUCAGAAGCUGUAAAACUCUAGCUUGAAGAUAGAACAGUAGAUGGAUGUUUAGGAAGUGGGAGUAAUUAAUUGUCUUGGUCAGAGGACAUAGAGAUGGCUGCAAAACUUCUGCAUUCUUUAGCUGAUGACAACCCAGAUUUGCAGAAGCAAAUAGGAUGCAUGAACGGGAUUUUUCAAAUUUUCGAUCGUCACCAUGUACUCACUGGUAGACGAAUUAGCCACCACAGGAGGCCUCCUCCAGGGAACUCACAUUUCAGCAAUGGUGGCGUGGAAAGGGAGUAUAACAAUGUAUAUCAUCGUCAGACAGUAGCUGAAAUGAAUUUGAACAAGAGUAUUAAUGAGAAACAAAGAAUCUCAACUGAAUCAUCAAGAGCCUCUUUCUCAUCCACUUGUUCUUCCUUAUCAUCUGUGGACUAUAACAAGACAGCUCAACCAGGAACCUCUUCCUUUGACAGAAUCAUUUUUCCUGAAACUCCCCCAAGGGACCCAGUGACUCAAUCAAGUACAUCCCCUAAACUAGGGAGGCAAUCCUUUGAUCUCCGGGAUGCGGUGAAGGACUCUAUGCAUAGGGAAGCCAGGGGACUGUCAGUUAAAACUGCAACCAAAGAGGAAGCAGCUGGUCGUGCAGUGAAGCAUAGGGACUCUCCAAGACCCUUACAGCUGUCCAAAUCAGUGGAAGGAUCUAAUGGAGUUGGGAUCAAUGGGAAGCAAAAUGUCCCUGCUGACCUCAAGGAAUCUCGUAGAGUUCUUGCUAAACUUCGAGAAGCACCUUGGUAUGAUGACGAUGCCAGAGAUCAUCCAAGAUCAUCAUAUGAAUCAAAAGAUGGUUCAUGGCAUACAAUUUCAAAGGAUGCUCCACGUUUUUCUUAUGAUGGUAGAGAGAGAAAUCGUUUGUCCUUGGAUUCAAGAGAUACCUCCAAAUCAACCCCAAAGCUAAAAGAGUUGCCAAGACUUUCACUGGAUAGCAGAGAAGGUUCAAUGCGGAGUUACCACUCUGAUUCCAAAACACAUCACCCUUCAAAAGGUUUUCAGAAUAGUGGCAACUCAAAUGACAGAGACCCUAAUCUACCUCAGUCAUCCGGAACUCAUAAUCGGCCUCCUAGUGUUGUAGCAAAGUUGAUGGGUUUGGAAACCUUGCCAGAUUCUGCCUUGACUAGUGAUAGUCACUUGAUUAAAACCUGCCCGGUUAAAGAUUUUGAUCCUUUUUCAAAAUCACUGAAAACAAAUAAUCUGCAGAGGCCUAUGAGAAUUUCUAACACCACAAGAAAUUCUAUGAAAGACCCAACAUCACCACGGUGGAAAAAUCCAGAUUUGGUUAUGAGACCUAUUUCAAGUUCAAGGUUUCCAAUUGAACCAGCACCAUGGAGAAUGCAGGAUGGAAGUCGAGGUUCUCAGAAACCAUCUUCCAAACCUGUUAAAGUUCAAGGACGGACUCCGGACUCCUUCCCUUCUGUUUAUAGUGAGAUUGAGAAGAGAUUGAAAGAUCUGGAAUUUAAACAAUCUGGGAAGGAUCUCAGAGCUCUUAAACAGAUACUGGAAGCAAUGCAAGCAAAAGGGCUGUUAGAGACCAAAAAAGAAGAACAAGCUUCAAAUUUUGGAACUCAAAAAGACAAUGAAUCAAAAUAUACAAGUUCCAGUCAAAAUUCAAGGUCAGUGAACCAAAGAAACACAAGCAACCAUGAAAUUUCUUCCACAACUAGAGGCUCCGCUUCCUCUAGGACUUUUGAAUCCCCAAUUGUCAUCAUGAAACCUGCAAAACUUGUUGAAAAAUCUGGCAUUCCCACUUCAUCAUUAAUUUCAAUAGACGGCCUUUCUGAUGCCCAAACUCUUCAGAGAGGGGGAAUCAUAGAUAAUAAUAAGAGGGGUUCAACUAGCAGCCGAACAGUUAAAGAUCAGUAUCCUAAAAACAGUCGGAAGGACUCUGCUGUCAGUUCCACUGACAAAAAAGCAACUGGCAGGAAUAUAAGAUCAACACAAUCUGUGCCAAAGGAAAUCACUGUAACAAAUUCAGUAAAGAGCUCAGGAUCCGUGAGCCCAAGAUUGCAACAGAAGAAGCUUGAGUUGGGAAAGCCAUCUCGUCCACCUACCCCCCCAUCUGAUUCAAAAAAGUCCAGAAGGCAAUCCAGCAGGCAAUUCACAGAGUCAGGUUCACCAGGUGGAAAACUCAGAUCAAAAUCUUCCAACUUGCAGCAAAGUGAUGACCAAUUGAGUGAGAUAAGUAAUGAAUCUAGAACUUUGAGUCUCCAAGGAGAUGACCUUGAUAUGGAAAUCACUAGUAUUGUUCGAGCUACUGAGAUAAAUGACAGCCAGAGUCCAUCUUUGAAAGCUGCCAAGUAUUUGGCUUCCGGUUCAAUGCAGCAAAUAUCAACUCCAAGGUUGGAAGAAGAUGGAUCUGUUGCGGAACUGGCUACAGUUGCUCCAGAACAUCCUAGUCCCGUCUCUGUUCUUGAUGUCUCAGCAUAUAGAGAUGAUGCACCAUCUCCUGUAAAGCAGAUGCCAAAUGCCCUCCAAGGUGAGAGCGCUGAAGAUUCUAACCACGGCGAAGGUGAAGACCAAUGGAACCCUGCAGAGAAGCUUGACAGCAUGGGAGCUGGCUCGGAAAUCAAUCGCAAGAAACUGAAAAACAUUGAAAAUUUAGUUCAGAAGCUUAGACGAUUGAACUCAAAUCACGAUGAAGCAAGAACAGAUUAUAUUGCAUCACUCUGCGAGAACACAAAUCCAGACCACAGAUACAUUUCUGAAAUAUUGUUAGCUUCAGGUCUCCUACUCAGAGACCUUGGCUCCAGCUUGACAACAUUUCAGCUCCAUCCCUCAGGCCAUCCCAUCAACCCUGAGUUAUUUUAUGUUUUGGAGCAAACCAAGGCAAGCAGUUUGCUUGCAAAAGAAGAAUGCAUCCCUGAGAAGGUAACCCAUGCGAAUCAAGGGAGAGAGAAAUUUCAUCGAAAACUCAUAUUUGAUGCAGUCAAUGAAAUUCUUGUUGACAAGUUGGAUUUAGUUGGCAUCCCUCCUGAGCCAUGGUUGAAGCCUGACAAACUGGCCAAGAAGACCCUUAAUGCACAAAAGCUGCUGAAGGAACUGUCUUGCGAGAUAGAACAACUGCAAACCAAUAAAUUGGAGUGCAGCUCAGAGGAUGAGGAUGAUGGUUUGAAAAGCAUUUUGUGUGAGGAUGUGAUGCAUCGGUCAGAAAGUUGGACAGUUUUCCAUGGUGACGUGUCUGGUGUAGUGUUAGAUGUUGAACGACUGAUCUUCAAGGAUUUGGUUGACGAAAUCGUUGUUGGUGAGGCAGCUAGUUUGCGAGAAAAACCAACUAGGCGCCGUAGGCAGCUGUUUGCUAAAUAGUGUCUUCUAAUUCUUCUUGUUACCGUUUUACUGUUGUGAUUUAUUAUUAUUAUUAUUUUUUUUUGUGACGAGCACAGUAGCGCAAUAAUAAAAUGUGUGUAAGAUCUACAGUUCUGAAUGCUAGAUUGUAAAGAACUUAACUUGUCAAAGUCCUUAAAAAGAUAAACGUAUAUUUGAAGAUCAAUUUAUAGGAUCCCUUUUUCUCCUCUCCA